rnacentral:rRNA from 1 species
UGCACCAGUCGUAGGUGGGAUAGUGUGGGGGACAUUCCACGUUUUCCGCGCCGUAGCUAACGCAUUAAGUGCCCCGCCUGGGGAGUACGGCCGCAAGGCUAAAACUCAAAGGAAUUGACGGGGGCCCGCACAAGCGGCGGAGCAUGCGGAUUAAUUCGAUGCAACGCGAAGAACCUUACCAAGGCUUGACAUGGGCCGGACCGGGCUGGAAACAGUCCUUCCCCUUUGGGGCCGGUUCACAGGUGGUGCAUGGUUGUCGUCAGCUCGUGUCGUGAGAUGUUGGGUUAAGUCCCGCAACGAGCGCAACCCUCGUUCCAUGUUGCCAGCGCGUAAUGGCGGGGACUCAUGGGAGACUGCCGGGGUCAACUCGGAGGAAGGUGGGGAUGACGUA